AGAACGAACGCUGGCGGCGCGCCUAACACAUGCAAGUCGAACGAGAAUCCGGGGCAACCCGGUAGUAAAGUGGCAAACGGGUGAGGAAUACAUGGGUAACCUGCCCUUGAGAAGGGAAUAACCCGCCGAAAGGUGAGCUAAUACCCUAUACGCUCCUUUUUCCAAGGAAAGGGAAGGAAAGCUAAGUCGUGGACUUGGCACUCAAGGAGGGGCUCAUGUCCUAUCAGCUUGUUGGUGGGGUAAUGGCCUACCAAGGCUACGACGGGUAGCUGGUCUGAGAGGAUGAUCAGCCACACUGGCACUGAGAUACGGGCCAGACUCCUACGGGAGGCAGCAGUGAGGAAUAUUGCACAAUGGGCGCAAGCCUGAUGCAGCGACGCCGCGUGAGGGAUGACGGCCUUCGGGUUGUAAACCUCUUUCAGCAGGGACGAAGCGUGAGUGACGGUACCUGCAGAAGAGCGCCGGCCAACUACGUGCCAGCAGCCGC
rnacentral:rRNA from 1 species